AAGUCGUAACAAGGUUUCCGUAGGUGAACCUGCGGAAGGAUCAUUUCCGAAAACAACUCUUACAAACCAAUCUUGUGGAAUGUUUUGGGUUUUUUUACUCUAGAAAGGUGAGGCUUAGUUGCUCUAAUAGUGACAGCAGUUUUGUGCCAGUGGGCACCUUGGCUGUUGCCCUCCUAUUACGCAAUGCUUGACGCCCUACUCUUCUAGAGGCCAUGAUGAACUACCUUCGGGUUGAUAGUGUCGUUUUUUCACUCUUGUUGUCUUCGGGCAACAACACAAAAAAACUAAUGAUACAACAACUUUUAACGGUGGAUCUCUUGGCUCGU
rnacentral:misc_RNA from 1 species